GAUGAACGCUGGCGGCGUGCCUAAUACAUGCAAGUCGAGCGAACAGACGAUGAGCUUGCUCCUCUGACGUUAGCGGCGGACGGGUGAGUAACACGUGGAUAACCUACCUAUAAGACUGGGAUAACUUCGGGAAACCGGAGCUAAUACCGGAUAAUAUAUUGAACCGCAUGGUUCAAUAGUGAAAGACGGUUUUGCUGUCACUUAUAGAUGGAUCCGCGCCGCACGAGCUAGUUGGUAAGGUAACGGCUUACCAAGGCAACGAUGCGUAGCCGACCUGAGAGGGUGAUCGGCCACACUGGAACUGAGACACGGUCCAGACUCCUACGGGAGGCAGCAGUAGGGAAUCUUCCGCAAUGGGCGAAAGCCUGACGGAGCAACGCCGCGUGAGUGAUGAAGGUCUUCGGAUCGUAAAACUCUGUUAUUAGGGAAGAACAAAUGUGUAAGUAACUAUGCACGUCUUGACGGUACCUAAUCAGAAAGCCACGGCUAACUACGUG
rnacentral:rRNA from 1 species